UGAGAUUAAAAGACACAGGAAACUGGUCUUCUGUGGCAGUGUCGGAUAUUUGAAACGAUAUUAACCAGGGCACUGGUGUCUUCGUCAACAUGAUACAAACUAAGGUGACCUGGGCAGUUGAGGAAUUGCCUCCAUCAGGAAUAGGCACCAGAUCCCCUGGAACUGUGGUUGCUGGCAGUUAUGAGCUGCUUCAUGUGGCUACUGGGAACUAAAUGUGGACCCUCUGCAAGUGCAGCAUGUGCUCUUAGCAUCCCUGGAACUCAUGAUUUUCAUACAACUGGCACAGCAAAUCGGGAAUAUCUCAUCAGGUGCCAGAAUGGAAUUAUCACUAUGUCAAGCAUUUGAGCACUUAUGUGUACCUACCACCUAAUCAAAGAAGACCCUCUUUAAAGCAAAUGAAAACCAUCAUAGAAAACUACAACUGAACAUAAUGCAAAAAUCAACAGAUCAUGAGGAAGCAAGCCCCAGUGAAUAUAUCUACACCACAGUUCCUUAAUCUGUGGCUCACG
rnacentral:lncRNA from 1 species